rnacentral:rRNA from 1 species
UACGUAGGUGACAAGCGUUGUCCGGAUUUACUGGGCGUAAAGAGCGCGCAGGCGGUCGUUCAAGUCGAGUGUGAAAGCCCCCGGCUCAACUGGGGAGGGUCAUUCGAUACUGAUCGACUCGAAGGCAGGAGAGGGUAGUGGAAUUCCCGGUGUAGUGGUGAAAUGCGUAGAUAUCGGGAGGAACACCAGUGGCGAAGGCGACUACCUGGAGCUUUGCUGACGCUGAGGCGCGAAAGCGUGGGGAGCGAUCCGG